GAAGAUGCCGGAUACCUGCGACAGGACGGAAAGACCCCAUGGAGCUUUACUGUAGCUUGACAUUGGGUCUUGGUACUACAUGUACAGGAUAGGGGGGAGGCUUUGAAACCAGGACGCCAGUUUUGGCGGAGCCAUCCUUGGGAUACCACCCUUGUAGUACUGGGACUCUAACCAUAGGCCAUGAAUCUGGUCUUGGGACACUGUCAGG
rnacentral:rRNA from 1 species